GGAGGAUUCGGUUGAUGGAGCUGGAGGAGGAGGAGAGGUCGGAGAGGGAGAGGAAGCUCUUCGAGGAGCGUGAAAGGGCAUGGAUGGAGGCUAUGGAGUUGAAGAAGAAGAAGAUGGCUGAGGAGGAAGAAGAAGAGCAGCAACGGAGAGCGCUGGAAGAAGAAUCGACGGCGCGGCAGGCUGAAAAUGAAAACGAGUUUAAUGGGGAAGAUGGUUGGGAAUACAUUGAAGGGCCUGCAGAAGUAAUCUGGAAAGGAGAAGAGAUAAUUUUGAAGAAGAAACUGAUUAAGGUUCCCAAGAAAGGCGUUGCACCUGAGAAAAGCCUUGAGGAUGCUCAUAGGCCUACAUCAAACCCUCUUCCUCCGCAAUCGGAAGCUUUUACAGAUUAUAAGAAUGCACCAAUUUCAACUAGACAAGUGAUUGAGGAUGUUGCAAGCCAAGUGCCAAACUUUGGAACUGAACAGGAUAAAUCACAUUGUCCAUUUCAUCUUAAAACUGGAGCUUGUCGAUUUGGUCAACGUUGUAGCAGAAUUCACUUCUACCCUGACAAAUCGUGUACAUUACUUAUCAAGAACAUGUAUAAUGGUCCUGGC
rnacentral:misc_RNA from 1 species